AGUGAACGCUGGCGGUAGGCCUAACACAUGCAAGUCGAACGGCAGCACAGUAAGAGCUUGCUCUUACGGGUGGCGAGUGGCGGACGGGUGAGGAAUACAUCGGAAUCUACUUUUUCGUGGGGGAUAACGUAGGGAAACUUACGCUAAUACCGCAUACGACCUACGGGUGAAAGCAGGGGAUCUUCGGACCUUGCGCGAUUGAAUGAGCCGAUGUCGGAUUAGCUAGUUGGCGGGGUAAAGGCCCACCAAGGCGACGAUCCGUAGCUGGUCUGAGAGGAUUAUCAGCCACACUGGAACUGAGACACGGUCCAGACUCCUACGGGAGGCAGCAGUGGGGAAUAUUGGACAAUGGGCGCAAGCCUGAUCCAGCCAUACUGCGUGGGUGAAGAAGGCCUUCGGGUUGUAAAGCCCUUUUGUUGGGAAAGAAAAGCAGCAGGUUAAUACCCCGCUGUUCUGACGGUACCCAAAGAAUAAGCACCGGCUAACUUCGUG
rnacentral:rRNA from 1 species